rnacentral:RNase_P_RNA from 1 species
CAAGCGGGAUGAAUGAUCGCGGCUGGCAGCGUAAGCUGUCAGGUGAGGAAAGUCCGGGCUUCAUAGGGCAGGAUGCCGGAUAACGUCCGGUGGAGGUGACUCCCAGGAAAGCGCAACAGAGAAGAGACAGCCGCGAAAGCGGUGAUGGUGGAAUGGCAGUGUAAGAGACUACCGCACAUCCGGUAACGGAUGUGGCUGUGCAAGCCCCAUUCGAAGCAAGACCAAACAGAAGGUGAAAGGUCUGCCCGGCCGCCCGCUAUGCGGGAAACCUUCAGGUAGGUCGCUUGAGACUGUCGGCAACGGCAGUACUAGAUAGAUGAUCAUUUUCGACAUAACCCGGCUUACAGUUUCGCUUGGCAU